rnacentral:rRNA from 1 species
CGCGCAGGCGGUUUGGUAAGUCGGAUGUGAAAACCCGGGGCUCAACCCCGGGCGUGCAUCUCGAUACUGCCCGACUAGAGGUAGGUAGGGGAGAUCGGAAUUCCUGGUGUAGCGGUAAAAUGCGCAGAUAUUAGGAGGAACACCGGUGGCGAAGGCGGAUCUCUGGGCCUUACCUGACGCUCAGGCGCGAAAGCUAGGGGAGCGAACA